UGGGGAAUAUUGCACAAUGGACGAAAGUCUGAUGCAGCAACGCCGCGUGGAGGAUGACACAUUUCGGUGCGUAAACUCCUUUUAUAUGGGAAGAUAAUGACGGUACCAUAUGAAUAACCACCGGCUAACUCCGUGCCAGCAGCCGCGGUAAUACGGAGGGUGCAAGCGUUACUCGGAAUCACUGGGCGUAAAGAGCGUGUAGGCGGAUAUAUAAGUCAGAAGUGAAAUCCAAUAGCUUAACUAUGUAACGGCUUUUGAAACUGUAUAUCUAGAAUGUGGGAGAGGUAGAUGGAAUUGCUGGUGUAGGGGUAAAAUCCGUAGAGAUCAGAAGGAAUACCGAUUGCGAAGGCGAUCUACUGGAACAUUAUUGACGCUGAGACGCGAAAGCGUGGGGAGCAAACA
rnacentral:rRNA from 1 species